AUGCAACCACUGUGCAUCCUCUGUGUAUCCUCUGUGCAACCAUUGUGCAUCCUGUGUGCAUCCUGUGUGCAUCCUCUGUGCAUCCUCUGUGCAUCCACCACGCAUCCUCUGUGCAACCACUGUGCAUCCUGCGUGCAUCCUCCAUGCAUCCUCUGUGCCACCAUUGUGCGUCCACUGUGCAUCCCUCAUGCGUCCUCGUGUAUCCGCUGUGCAUCCCCGCUGCGUCCCCGCUGUAUCCGCUGUGCACCCAUCGCGCACCCGCCGUGCACCUGCCGCGUGUCCACCGUGCACGCACCGCGCAUCCGUUGUGCUUCUGCUGUGCUUCUGCUGCGCAUCUGCCGCACACCCACCCCGCACCCUCUGUGUGCCCACUGUGCAUCCAUUGUGCAUCUGCUGCGCAUCUGCCGCACAUCCUCUGUGCAUCCACCGUGCAUCUGCCGUGCAUCCGCUGUGUGCUCGCUGUGCAUCCCUGGCACAGCCCCUGCGCAGGUGCUGGGCACCCCCUGCUCGUUCUCUGUGCACCCUGCACGCCCCCGCUGUGCAUUCGCUGUGCAUCCAGCCCGCGUCCCCGGUGCACCCGUGGUGCACCAGCCGUUCACGUGCCGCACAUCCACCCUGCCACCGCCACGCAUCCUCUGUGUGCCUGCUGUGCACCACAGCUCCGCAGAGGGCAAUGUGAGCCACCGCAGAGGACCCGGACGUGCUCUAACUCCUGCACUUCUCCCACCCUGUGUGCUCACAGGGCCCAGUUCGGUGCCUCCCUGCUCGCGCUGGGGACACAGCGGGUGGCAGGGACGAGGCAAGCGCAGCGCCCGGUGCCUUCCGCUGUCCCCUGGGUGGCUCUGGGGAGGCUGCAGAGCUGGAAGUGCCGCUGGCCAUGGGACGGAGAGGAUGGAAGCACGCCUGUCCCAUCCCAGUGGGAAAACGGAGCACAGCACAGCAGCCCCUAGCAGCUCCCCACGUACAUCCUGGCAGGCAGGGCCAGAUCCAGGGGCACCCGGGGGACCCGCGGUGGCGUCUCCAUUGCCCCGAGCCAGCCCAGCUCAUCGCAGAGAAUGCUCAGAGCCCGUGGCAGGGAGACGGGGCUGGCAGACCCUGAGAUAA
rnacentral:lncRNA from 1 species